UACGUAGGCAGCGAGCGUUGUUCGGAAUUACUGGGCGUAAAGAGUGUGUAGGCGGUGUUCCCAGUCUGUUGUGAAAUCUCCCGGCUUAACUGGGAGGGUGCAGCGGAAACUAGAAUGCUAGAGGGUGGGAGAGGUAAGCGGAAUUCCUGGUGUAGCGGUGAAAUGCGCAGAUAUCAGGAGGAACACCAAUGGCGAAGGCAGCACUCUGGGACGUGACUGACGCUGAGACGCGAAAGCGUGGGGAGCAAACAGG
rnacentral:rRNA from 1 species